ensembl:lncRNA
AAUAGUGUGGCGUGGUCUCCCUGACCAAAUUCCACCAGGGUGCCUGCCUGAACCCAGGUGAGAUGACUCCCUGUCUCAGGUCAGGGCAUUGAGUUCCAUGAGCUCAGAGUGGGGCAAAGCCUUCUAGCCUGUGGGUGGCCCGCAAGGCCAGCAUGAGAUCCUGGGUACACAGAGCAAGGAAUGCAGGUUCACAGAAAACCAGACAGAACAAAAUGGGCAAAGAGGACCGUCCUCACAGAGGCCUCUCUUCGGCAGGAAGGCAGACGGUCAGGUGAGUGAGCAAUGCCCUGAGGAGCGUCACACAGGGUGAGGGAACCAACACAGUGGCCAGGGAGGGGCUUUCCAGAAUAGGGCAUAUUUGCCUGUGGUUGUCUCUGAAAUGACGUUUGAGCAGAGGAGGCCUGUGGAUGGCUGAGGAAGUGUGGCUAGCUGAGGCAGAGGGAACGGCAGUGCAAAGGCCCUGUGGCAGGACUAUGCCGGGUUGUUCUGAGGAGCAUUGAGCGGCUGAGCAGGUAAGGGAGGGGUAGUGGGAAGCAAGGUCAGAGAGCUAAUGGCAGUAGGGGAGGCACGGAUCCUAAAGACCUUGGAGGUCACAGUGAGGUCUUUGCUUUUAACCCUGAGUGAGAUGGGAGCCAUUGGAGGGUUUUGAGCUGAAGAGUGGCCCAACUUGACUUAGGUUUGAAAAGGAUCUCUCUGGCUGCUACGGAGACAGACUAACGUGGCAAGGGACGGAUGGGGACAGGGAGACAAUGAAGGGCUACCGAGACCAUCCUGGUGGAGAUGGGUCAGGUUGGUGGUGGUGAAGUGGGAAGAAGUGGUCAUUUGUUUUUAGGUCAAGCUGUGCGGCAUGUGGGAUCUAGUUCCCUGACCAGUGAUUGAACCUGGACCCCAUGCACUCGGAGCACAGAGUCUUAACUACCGGACCGCCAAGGAAGUCCCAUAAGUGGUCAUUUCUGAUGUUCUGACACUAGUCCCACACUGGCUCCAGGACAGGAGGGCAUCUCUGCCCCGGCCAGGUCCCAUCAGAGGUGCCACACCCUCCACCGGAAGCAUGGCAUGGGGCAUGGCACUGCCCAAGCAGCUGUGGAGGCUGGACAGUGCCAGGCCCUUCUUCCAUCCCACCGUGUGGCCGCAUAGGCCUCCUCAUUUCAUUUCAAACAUUGUGAAUUUGGCCCAGCAGCUAUCAUUCCCCUCCCACCCUGGGCCGGGCCACCAACCUGCACAAUGUUUCUGGGAAGCAAGUGGUUCAUAUGUAUUAAGAGUCUUAAAAUUUUCAUGCCUUUCGCCCCAGCGAGUCCCUUUCUGGGAGGUUCCCCUGGAGAAGUCACCUGACACUUCUGGUCAGGUGGUCACGGUUUCUACAUCAAGAGCGGCACCUGUGCACUUGUGCCGCCCUUAAAUUCAUGUUUCCUAAGGAUGUUCAUGUCAAAGGGCAACACUCACGCUACAAUACCAAGCGGAUAGAAUAUUGUGCAGGAGACACCUGUACAAGGAAGGAAGUAGACGAUGAUUACCUCUGAGUGACUGGAACUUCCACUGAAGAAGAAACUUUGCUUUCUCCAUUACACUUUUCUGCUUUGUAUGGAUGUUCUAAGAUGGACAUGCUUUGCCUUCAUGAUAAUUGGAUUUGAAAGCAGUAUUAAAAAAAGAAACAGAAAGGAAAUGCGAGUUCCCAGAAGCUGAGGAAGCACAGCAGAGGCCAGGCCCGGAGCAGAGAACUGACCCAUCCCUUUCGGGGAAAGGCAGCAGCCACGUGGAGUGGAGCAAGCCUGGUGCCCCGCCAACCGGACAGCCGGCCGCUGGGCUCACUUCCUCCAGUGCGACUGCCCAGGGGCAGAGCUGAGAACGGUGGUGGGAGUGAGCACAGCCGGGUCCACUCCCCUUCCUACUGCCCAGGUCACGGGGGUCUGUCCCCUCUCCUUGGCCCUGCAGCGCCUGGAGUUUGCCCCUCCGUCACCUCUGCUUCCAUCACAUCUCACCAGAAGCCUGCUGCAUUUGUAACCUUGUGUCUCCCCUAAGUAUGUACCCAGGGGUUCUCAAAAUGUGGUCCCCAUACCAGCAGCAUCAGCACCCACUCAGGAACUUGUUAGAAAUACAGAUUCACAGGCCCCACCCCAGACCCUCUGAAUCUGAGACUCUGGCAGGUGAAGCCCAGGAAUCCAUGUUUUAACAAGCCCUCCAGGGCUACAGUUUGAGAGUGAUACAGCCCCCCCAUGGUCCUUGGUUUACCUCAAUUAUAUCAUCUUACACAUUGCCAUGAUUUCCACUUAAGAGCUGGGACUCUGAGACCAUACUUUAUUAUUUUUUUUUUGAGCUCAUACUUUUAUUUCAAGCUUUGUGCUCCACAGCUGCCUGGACUUCAGGCUGUCCUGUGGAGGUCCGGGUUGGCGCUCGGUGUUCAUCGUGCCACGGACAUGGGUUGAACCGGAGUUCGCACACUGUGGCAUCAGAGCCCUGGCUGCUCUAUUGGAAGACCAAGACUGAUUCCCCAGGAGACCCUGCGGGCCUGGCCCCCUGUAGGAUGAGGGAGGCAGGCUCCCUCCGGUGAUGACAGCCAGUGGCAGUCAGGAUGGACACACGCUGCCGUGGAGGGGCGCAGCGCCACCUGCUGGCCAGAAGGACGCCAGCAGCGAUGCUGGCUGAUUAAUGCAGGGACCCACACACACGCACGCACACACACACUCAGCAGGAACACCAUGACAAGCAAGCACGUGUCCCCUCCCACUGCAUGGGGGCGGACGCAUCCACACGUGGAUGUCUGGGCCCGUGGGCAUGUGGGGCUCUCUGCCACACGGCCUGGCAGAUAGCACUGAAUUCACUCACGUACUCAUUUCUUCCUUUACCGAACGUUCUUUCAGAUACGCCAAGCCCACAGUUGCUAUCCCUGGCUGGGUGAUGAUCAAGAGACCAGGCAGUAACCAGGCGAUGUAGGUAAGGGUCCCAGGAGAGAUGCGCCUGGUGAGCUCGCAGAGGCAGCCCCUAACCCAUCUAGACUGGAGUUGGGGGCAGGGACAAGUUGCCCAAGAGAUCCAGCCCCUGCUGGGUCAAAGCCUGUGAGCGGGAGAUGGCUGGGUGAAGGAGGCAGAGGUCAAAUAGAGGGAAGCACAGAGGAGGAGCUGGAGGGGACAGUUGAGACCCUGGGCAGAGGGCCUUACACACGGGCCACAGAGUCUGGACUUUGUCCCCGCAGGCAGUGGGGAGCCAUGGAAAGCUUCCAGCCGGGAAACAGCCCGGCCAGAUUCCGGUGCCAUAGCUAGUGACACGUCUGUACCAAAGCAUAGGCCCUGAGGGUCUCUCAGCCCCUCCUAGGGCUGGGGGCCUUGCACGUGGUUUGUCCCUGGGUACUGCCUCUUCUUUCUGCAGCAGCAGUCCUCGGACGUGUCUGCGAAGGGGAGAGGUGCACCCCCGCCCCAGUCUCCAGAGAGAAGCCUGUGUCCACUCUAGAAAUGAAGCAAACAACAGCCACUGUUAAGGCAGGCAGCCCUAUGUGCCCAGAAGAUGCCCAUUUUCCACUCACCAGGCUGCCCAGACAGCUCAGAGGGUGAGAGGUCUUCUACAACAUAGCUCCCUGUGCCCCCCCAGCUCCCCCUACUAGAGGGUCGGUGCCUCUCUGCACAGAUGGUAACUGGAUGGCUGCAUCGUGCCGGGUGGAAACGCAUUUACAGUAUGGGACGCUGGUGCUCUGACACAAGCAGGGGUCUAGGGUAGAGAGCCCGAGGGCAGCCGGAAGGGGACCCCGGGGCGGCUGAGGGGAGGGGAGCAGCGUGAGGACUCCCCAGAGAGGAGGUGGCAGGUGGAGCUGAAGAGAAAAGCUUGGCGGCUUCCCAAUUCAGCUGGGCCACAGCUUUGUCAAUGGCCAGCUCUCUACCCGCCGGGCCCCUGGCCUGGCCCCGGGCCUGCGGUUUUCCUCAGUAGAACAGCGGGCGGCAGCUUCCGAGAAACCCCACCAAGACUUUCCUGUCAGGGCAACUCCAAGUUCCUCUUCAGGAAGGGGAAGUGGGGGAGUUUCUCCUAAGGGCUUUCAGUUUCUUUCUAAGAAGCCGGAGUGUCCCAACCCCGCAGUGCAGAGCCAGGUGUUAAGGGAAGAGACGUCCCACGGCAGGGGCUUUCCUAUCUCGGGUUCACAGGUGGACAUUCCAAAAGAGGAAAACUGGACCCGAGUUUUGCAGGCCCUUUCCCAUGCCCCUCUCCUUUCUUCCCCCUCCGGUCACACGUCCCCUGCGCCCCUCCCUGCCCCCACCAACACGUGCAGUGCAUGCACAGAAUGUGGCCUGCCCUCCCUCGGGGACCUGCCAGGUGGAAAUUUAUUUCCUCAGCCCUCCCAGCCGACGUCCUGGGAGCUCAGCUUCCUCGGGGCUCUGCUGGGCGACUCAACAUCUGACCCAGAUCAAGACCCAACAGGUGACUCCAGCUUCUUGCCGAUGCUGGGCCACGGAAGACCUCCAAACUUCUUUGAGGACACACUGUGGGAGCCCCAAGAACUGAGAGCCUGCCUUUUUUUUAAGAAGGCUUGGCUUGGUGGCAAAGCAGAAGUCCUGAUGUGAUUAUAAACAAGAGCCACCAUGGAGGCUAAGCACUUACCGUGUGCUAGCAUUUUACAUGAAUAUCCUCCUGUAACCCACCCCCCCAACCGAGGGGGCAAUCCCAUGACAAAGACACCAUUGUUACUCCUGAAGUCAAGCAACCUGCCCAUUCACCCAGCCCGCAAGCCUGUUCUUCCCAGUAGACUGCUUCUCAGAAAGGCGGGGAAGAAAGACUAUCAGGCCCUCAAAGGAGCUGGCUGGGAAGGUGUGAUCUCCAAUAUCGCCGAUCCUCAAAGCAAGCUCUGAGUGGUGAAGAGCCAGCGAUCUAGUUACCGCCGGCUUUGCAGCACGGCCACGGCUGGGGGUCUCCCCAGGACAUCCACACUCCUGUCGCCUCUUCUGUUCUCCUCUUACAGGCAUCGUGUUAGGGUUUCUGCUUUGCCAACACAUGCGUUAUGGGGACAGUGUGGGGAUUUCCCCAAACCAUGACGCUGUUCUGCUCAAAAACAUUUGCCUAGAAGUCCACAACUGUGUGACUCACGCUGUUGAGGUGUCAAGAAAACUCACAGCUGCAGGGUGGAGGGGCCGGACCCACACGGAAGGGGGCACUCGGAGGGUGAGCAGUUCGGUACAUAAAAAUACAGGACACCCAGUUACAUUUGAGUUUCAGAUCAACUACAACAUUUGGGAUACCCUGAUACUAAAAAAAAAAAAAAAAGUACUUAUCUGAAGUGAAAGUGUGUGUUAGUUGCUCAGUUGAGUCUGACUGUUUGCGACCCCAUGGAUUGUAACCCAAAUCAGGGACUGAACCAGUGUCUCUUACAUCUCCUGCAUUGGCACACGGGUUUUUUUGUUUGUUUGUUUAUUUUUUUUUUUAACACUGGCACCACCUUGGAAACCCCAAGGACCUCCUAGCCCUUGGUUUCUGGCCUCGUUGAAAAUCUGCUAGAAGCAAGAAGAGGUGGGAAGUAGCCAAAGAGCAGGUUUAGGGACAAGCAAGACAGCUCUGCUGGGAAAAGUGCUGUCCCUCCUAUGCUCCAGCACCCAAGGAGAUUGGGGCCUGGGUGCCUGGAGGGAUCCUCUGGGGUCAGCCCACCCAGCUUUUCAAACACUCAUGGCAACACCUGAGCCACAGCUGGGAUCAUUGCUAGCUCCCAAAUUAGAAAAGUAUGUUGUAAGGAUGAAAUGGCUAAAUGGUCUACAAAAUGUUAACUACGCAAUUGUAACUCAGCUCCUGCACUUUAUGUAAAUUAUAUGCGCUGUGGCACGUGGGUCCAUUUGAAUACAUUUAGGGAUGUUGUUUUUUUUCCAGUCGCUCAGUCGGGUCGACUCCUUGCGACUCCGUGGACUGCAGCACUCCAGGCUCCUCUGCCCUUCACUAUCUCCCAGAAUUUGCUCAAAUUCAUAUGCAUUCAGCCAGUAGAGCUAUCUAACCAUCUCAUCCUCUGUCGCCCCCUUCUCCUCCUGCCCUUAAUCCUUUCCAGCAUCGGGGUCUUUUCCAAUGAGUCAGUUCUUCUUAUCAGGUGGCCAAAGGAUUGGAGUUUCAGCUUCCGCAUCAGUCCUUCCAAUGAGUAUUCAGGGCUGAUUUCCUUUAGGGUGGAUUGGUUGGAUCUCCUUGCAGUCCAAGGGACUCUCAAGAGUCUGCCAGGGAUGUAGCCUCUGAGAGUAAGAUGCCCAGGGCUUGGAAGCUCCACAUAGAGCUGUUCCAGAGAUGUGGAGACAGCGAAUUCCUCCAGACCACCAGCUGUAUUCCAGGGUCUGAUGGCAGUGUAAAGGUGAAUCUCUGGAGACAGAGAUGAGGGAAGAGCAGGUCUGGGAGUUGGUGAAGCCCCUUCAGAGAGGGUCCCACUGGUCCCUGAUAGGGGACCGCUGAGACCCAGCAGGGGCCUCGGGGCCAGACUGGAGCUCCUAGUAGGGCUACAGUCUUGACAGGGAACUGGAGGUCACAUCUUGGGGCAAGCCCUGGGUGCUUCCCAGUGGGGAUGAGCGCUGCGAUUACUUCCUGACCUUUGUCUUCCUGAAAGGCCAGGGAUGCUCACAUGUAGCCGGCAGGGGCGACACCUAAGGGCUGGGGUUACCCAAGGUCCCCUGGUCACCAUCAGCUCCAUCUCUCAGAGCCACCACCAGAAGGUAAUAGUCUUUGCUGUGGACAAUGCACAUUUUCUCAGUCUUGCGUAAAAGUAUAUCUUUAGGAAAAUUGGUGAAUUAUAGUUUGUUCAGGCUGCUGAAGCACAGGACUCCUGCUGCGGAGACUUCAACAACAGAAAUUAAUUUUCUCACAAUCCUGGAGGUUAGACAUCUGAAAUCAAAGUGUCAGCAGGGUUGAUUUGUUUUAAGGUCCCUCUUUUCCUCUUUGUCUUCUGUGGCCUUCCCCCUGCCUAGGUCCUAAUCUCCUCUUCUUUCUUUCUUUCGGCUUUUUAUUUUUUUGACCACAGCUUUUGGGAUCUUAGUUCCCCAACCAGGAAUUGAACCUGCGCCCUCAGCAGUGAAAGCAUGGAGUGCUAACCACUGGACUGCCAGGGAAUUCCUUAGACAAGGGGCUUUCUCUCUCUUUCUAAUCUCUUCUUCUGAUAAGGACACCAAUCAUAUAAAAGUAGGGCUCACCUGUUGACUUCAUUUUAUCUUGUGUUUUGCUGAGUUGCUCAGUCGUGUCUGAUUCUUUGAGGCCCCCCUGGACUGUAGCCCACCAGGCUCCUCUGCCCGUGGAAUUUUCCAGGCAAGAAUGCUGGAGUGGAUCGCCAUUUCCUCCUCUGGGGAUCUUCCCAAACCAGGAGUCGAACUCCCAUCCAUCUCUUGUGUCUCCUUCAUUGGCAGUCAGAAAUUUGUGAAGGACUCAGUUGGGCACUUCGCACUUGGGGUCUCCCACGAGGCUUUAGUCAGGUGUUGACUGAGGCCGAAGUCAUCAGAUGACAGCUGGGACUGGAGGAUCAUUGCUAAGGUUACUCACUUGUACAGCUGGCCAGUUAGUGCCACCUGUAGGCGGGGUGCCUCGGUGCCUCUCCACGUGGACAUCUCCACAAAGAUAUCAGAACAUCACUGCUGCUGUGUCUUGUUGGUUGAAGCAAGUCACCAGGUCAACCUAGAUUCAAGAGGAGGUGAAAUUGGAAAUUCCAUCCAGUGAUUAGGACUCUACAUGUUCAUUGUAAGGGGCACAGGUUCAAUCCCUGGUUGGGGAAUUAAAUCCUGAAAGCCAAAAAAAAAAAAAGAGAGAGAAAGAAGAGGUGAAAUAGAUUCCAUCUUGUGGUAGCAGAAGCAGCAAAGUCCAGUUGCAAAGAGGCAUGAACAAAGAGGUGGGGGUAAUUCUCUGGGGGGCCAUUAUUGUAACAAUACUCCCUAGGGAUGGUGCACAAAGUUCAUUCACUGGGUCAGCACGCCCCACGCAUGCACUCAGAGAUCUGUGAACUUUGGUCUCACUCUUGGAACAACCUGCUGCCGCCCAGCUUGCUCCUCACUCCCUUCUCAGCCAGUCCAGCUCAGAUCUGCCUGGACAUAGGCUGUGUCUCUGGUCUGGGGCCCUGUUUAUGCCCUUUGGCCUUGCUGAUGUAUGUGUGGACUUUGAUUCAGGUUACCUGCCAGCCUUCCCGCUCAGCCUGGCCUCCACUCUGCUUCCUGGAACUCACAGCCCCACCCCGUCAGCUGUCCUCUGGCAGGGUCUGGUCUGCCUCCCCACUGGGAAAGUUCAUACACCUCCAGUGGAUUCUUCUUGACCAAUUUCCCGAGAAAACUGCUUAAUACAUCUGAAAGUACAGUAUGUGUCUUUCAUUCACCCUUUCAUUCGCCCCAGCCGAAUAAACUCCAGUAAUUCAGACCAUUAAGAAAUUCCAUGGUUUAUGCUCCAAAUUUUAGUCUUUUUUUUGUACUUUAGAACUCAUGAGUUACUGAGAAUACAAACCCAUGAUGUUAUUUGAUAACAGCUAUAAAAGGAAAAGAUAAUACUAAUAAGAUAGAAUCUCACAAAAUGGUUUAUUGGUUGGAUCAAGAAGUUAACAUGAAUCACAUUUUCCUAAUUGAAUCAUACUUUUUGAUGUAGUAGCUGGACUUGUUGCCUAAGGACCCUCAGAGGGCUGUAAGACAGAGAAUAGAAUUAUUUAGUAGUCAAAGUUUAGAUUUUUUAUAAGGGGAAGCCUUUUGGUAAAGAUAUUAAUUUGCUGGUUGUUAAAAUGAUUUUAGUGUUUCAAAGAAACAAGGUGUACAACAAUUUCAACUUUAGUGAAAAAAGAUACAUUUAUUGUAAAAAGGGGGAAAAUCUAUACAACAAAACAUAAAACAUAAUAUAAUGUGUGUGUAUCUCCUUUCUUUGGAAAUAUCUAUAGUUUCUUAUAGAAACUGGUUUCUCAGUAAUAUCAACUCUUAGGAGAAAAAAAAUGUGUGUGUGACAGCAGGGCGGGAGGAAGAUGUUUAGAUUUAUCCUUGUUCCUUUUGAAUUUUGUACCAAAAUUAAACCAAAACUGUGGGAGCAGAUAUCACCUGGGAGGGGACAUAAGGGAGUUCUCCAGGGUGCUGGAAAUAUUCUGGUUCUUGACGUGAGUGGUGGCUAUGUGGAUGAACACCCAUGAAAAGUUGUCAAUCUGUACACUUAAAAUCAAUGCACUUUAUUAUGUUAUACUUUCAAGAAAGCAAUGUCUAUCAAUGAAAAAUAUAUAUAUAUUACAAAUAAUUUUUUACUUUGUGUCUUAUCGGCAGGGCACACGACAUGGCAUGUAGGAUCUUAGUUCUCCAACCAAGGGUCAAACCCACGCCCCCGGCAAUGGAGGCACAGAGUCUUAACCACUGGACCACCAGGGAAGUCCCCAAAAUAAUUUUUUAAGAAGAAAAAUAAAGCCAGACCAGGCAGGCUGCCAAAAAAUAAAGUCAGACCUUGCCUUGCUCCGCAAAAAUGCAGCUAAAGAAGACAGCAAAGGGCGUUGUGUACCCUUCAGUCGGGGCAGAUGUAAAAUAUCUUCACCCAAGCAGGACCGGAACAUUCCACAGCCAGUGAUUUGGAAAGUUGCCGCUUCCCCACUGUUAUGUGACCACAAGCAAGUUCUACUCAACCACUGACGCUUCAGUUUCCUCAUCUGUAAAAUGAGGAUUUGGAUAUAGUAUCUACUUCUAAUGUUAUUAAGGAUUAAGUGGGACUUCCCUAGUGGUACACUGGAUAAGAAUCUGCCUGCCAUUGCAUGGACCUUGGUUUUAUCCCUGACCCAGGAAGAUCCCACACCUGAGGAACAACUAAACCCGUGCACCACAACUAUUGAGCCUGUGCUCUAGAGCCCGAGCCUCAGCUACCGAGCCCGUGUACCCUGGAGGCUGUGAGCGGUCACCUCAGCUGUAACUCGUGCAUGUCCCAACCUGCCCCUCCCGAGGCCACCUCAUCUCAGCUAGUGGCCACUCCACCCCAGCCCCCUGUUCUCAGGUCAGAGGCCAUAGAGUCACCUCUGGUUCCCUCUCUCUCCCACCGUAGUCACUGUGUAGGGGGGUUUCCACUCUACCUUCAAAAUGAACCCAGAAUUCGAUCCCUUCUCACCACUUUCACUGCUCCAACCCUAAUAUAAGCCACCUCCCCCUCACUGAUACAGUUGUGACUGCCUCUCAGCUGCUUCUGCCUUCAUCCCUUUCAGUCUGUUUCAGCAAAAGCAGCAGGACAGAGUCUGUUAAAACAAAUCAGAUUCCCCUCAAGACUCCUCCUCUCAUUCAGCCCUGCUCCCUGACCCCACCCUCAGUUUAGUGGUCUUCUGCCCUGAUCUCCUUCCUGCCCACUCUGCUCCGGCCACACUGACCUCCUCGCUGUUCUUUGCACGCGCCAGGCAGGCUCCCACCGCAGGACCGUUGCACUUGCUGUUCCCUCUGCCUGGAAUGUGCUCCCCGCUGCUACCUGUGUGCUGCUCUCCCUUUCUUCUUUCCUUGAGCUUGUUUUUCAGACACUGACUUCUCAGUGAAGCCCUCCUUGAUUUUCCUUUAAACACGGGACGCACACACAUCCCAGUCCGCCCUGCUCCCUUUCUUACUCCUUUUGUUCUCCUACCAGAAUGACAAGGGGUUUCCUGAGACUUAAGGUUUUCAGUUUUAAAACUAGGCAAGUCUGGAUGGUUUGUCACUCAUUACAUCUAAUAUGUUCUACAUUUUAUUAAUAUGUACUUACUUUGUUGAAUAAGAACAUAAACUCCAUGAAGGCAGAGAUUUUGUCUCCUUCAUUGCUGUACCCCUGGUAUAGGAACUGCGUUUGGCUCAAAAAGAUGUUCAACAAAUACUUGUUGAAUGAAGGAAUAAACUUACG